UCCAUGGGAGCUUGCUCCUUGAAGACCGAGUGGCGAACGGGUGAGUAACACGUGAGAAACCUGCCCUGGAGUGGGGAAUAACUCGGGGAAACCCGAGCUAAUACCGCAUACCCUCUGAUGAUCGCAUGGUCGACAGAGGAAAGAAUUUCGCUCUAGGAGGGUCUCGCGGCCUAUCAGCUUGUUGGUGGGGUAAUGGCCUACCAAGGCAGCGACGGGUAGCUGGUUUGAGAGAACGAUCAGCCACACUGGGACUGAGACACGGCCCAGACUCCUACGGGAGGCAGCAGUGGGGAAUCUUGCGCAAUGGGCGAAAGCCUGACGCAGCAACGCCGCGUGCGGGAUGACGGCCUUCGUGG
rnacentral:rRNA from 1 species